AGCACUUGGGCUCCAGCAGCACUUGCUCCCCACCACCAUUUUGGGUCCCAGCUCAUCAUGGCCUCCACAGGUUCCUGGUUACUAGCGUCAUCCGGGCGUCAUCUACCCUCAAGGGAAGGUAAGUGAGAAGUGACAACUAUUAUGGGAGAGUUGGCCUACCAUUAGUAAAGUAAAUUCCCACUUCAUACCAGUUGUCUCUGAAAUAGCGUUCCACAGCUAACUAGUAUAUCGUUACAUGUACAACAUCUAUGAAUAUUCGCUAUGCGGAUUAAAAGGAAUCUCCUGUCUCCUGGACAGGUGUUGAAUUAGUAAUAUGCGGCCUUAAUUACGUUCAUGUAGUAGACAGUAUUUAAACUUAAUCACAGUUUAGGCUUGUACUUAAAAGAUUGAUGAGGCAAGUGAUAACUAGGAAAGUGUUCACAGAGUGCCUAUAACAGUCGUUUUAGGAGCUUGUAACGAUGUUGAUAGUGUGAUAGCGUUCUUCAAGCGCUGAUUAUAAGUAUUAUCUUGAUAAGAGAAGUGUCGCUGCGCAAAGUGUCGCUGCACAAAGUGUCGCUGCGCAAAGUGUCGCUGCGCAAAGUGCCGCUGCGCAAAGUGCCGCUCCAAAAAGUGCCGCUCCAAAAAGUGCCGCUCCAAAAAGUGCCGCUCCAAAAAGUGCCGCUCCAAAAAGUGCCGAUGAGAUACGUGGAUAACAAGUAAAAACAAGAGCAGAGAGCGUGUGUUGAGAACCAUGAGUGUUGAAAACAUCACUUGUGAAGAAAUGUUGAUAGUUGACAAUUGCUGCGAAAAACGAUUAUAACGCGUAUCGUGACUACUCGUUACCGCGAGUGUCGUAAACACUGGUUAUGGUAAGUGCUCUCAGGAACGUUGGUAAGAGCGUUGAUAGAGCGAGCGUUAAACACAAGUGUGAUAUAAAAGAUUUGGAAAGAGUUAUUUACCGAAAGUGUUGAUAAAAAGUACCGAUAACAAGUGUAUCGAUAACAGCAUCUAUUUCUCAGCACCACCUGGAAUCCCAGCUCUUCCUGGCUCCACAGGGUCUUAGUUACUCGCGUCAUCUGGGCGUCAUCUACCGUCAAGGGAAGGUAAGUGAGAAGUGACAACUAUUAUGGGAGAGUUGGCCCACCAUUGCUAAGGUAAGUUCCCACUUUAUACCA